AACGAACGCUGGCGGCAGGCUUAACACAUGCAAGUCGAGCGCCCCGCAAGGGGAGCGGCAGACGGGUGAGUAACGCGUGGGAAUCUACCCAUCUCUACGGAAUAACGCAUGGAAACGUGUGCUAAUACCGUAUACGUCCUUCGGGAGAAAGAUUUAUCGGAGAUGGAUGAGCCCGCGUUGGAUUAGCUAGUUGGUGGGGUAAAGGCCUACCAAGGCGACGAUCCAUAGCUGGUCUGAGAGGAUGAUCAGCCACACUGGGACUGAGACACGGCCCAGACUCCUACGGGAGGCAGCAGGGGGGAAUAUUGGACAAUGGGCGCAAGCCUGAUCCAGCCAUGCCGCGUGAGUGAUGAAGGCCCUAGGGUUGUAAAGCUCUUUCACCGGUGAAGAUAACGACGGUAACCAGAGAAGAAGCCCCGGCUACUUCGUGCCAGCCGCCGCCGUAACAC
rnacentral:rRNA from 1 species